ACGGGGGGUGCAAGCGUUGUUCGGAAUUAUUGGGCGUAAAGCGCGCGCAGGCGGCUUGAUGAGUCAGAUGUGAAAGCCCUGGGCUUAACCCAGGAAGUGCAUUUGAAACUGUCAGGCUCGAGUAGGGGAGAGGGAAGUGGAAUUCCUGGUGUAGAGGUGAAAUUCGUAGAUAUCAGGAGGAACACCGGUGGCGAAGGCGACUUCCUGGCCCGAUACUGACGCUCAGGCGCGAGAGCGUGGGGAGCAAACAG
rnacentral:rRNA from 1 species